CUUCAUGAUGCUGAUCAACCAAUCAGAUUUCCCGUCCACCAGGUGGACGGGAAUCUCACCCUUUAGAUAGGUUUUGUGUCAGGCCCUAUUCUGUGAUUAGGGCCUGAACUUCAGGUUACUUAGGUUGUAGUUUUAAGACCAAAGUGAGGGAGUGAGAUAAACUCGGCUAGCUAAGCUAAGGCAUCAAGCCUUUUUUGGGCCGCAAACCUUUUUUCAACACCAAAUGUGAAAUUAACCCCACGUUACCAAAUCGUUGAACAAUAAUGCUGGAUAUCCUGGGC